GAACUGAAGAGUUUGAUCCUGGCUCAGAUUGAACGCUGGCGGCAUGCUUUACACAUGCAAGUCGAACGGCAGCACGGGGGCAACCCUGGUGGCGAGUGGCGAACGGGUGAGUAAUGCAUCGGAACGUGUCCUUGAGUGGGGG
rnacentral:rRNA from 1 species